UUUCAAGAUCCUACUGGGUCUCUGGAUGUGGGCAUGCCAAUGGCGCAUAAGCCCACAUCACGGACAGCGAGAAGUAAUUUCUCCCUGGAAUCAAGAGAGGGUACUUUCAUCUCUUUUUGUCAAAAUUUUGACAUGGGAAUUGUGGCUGCUCUUCAACAAGAAUGUCAAGAUUCCUCGAAGCUCCAAUUUGUAGAGGAUGAGGUUCAUGGUCCUAAUAUUUCUACGGAGUAUGCAAAAUAUGUUGAGGAUUGUUGCCGUAAGCGAAUCCUUAACACAGAGCUUGCAAAGUUAAAAGACAGCUUUAGGCGUCCUGAAAAAUGCCUGGCACUCAGUUUGCCUACAAUUAACCCAAAUCUCUUGGCUCAGCUUCCCAAGGAACUAAAGGAGCAUGAUGAGAGUCUUCAAAAUGCCCAAUUUUUACUUGCUAAGGGCAUGACAGGGGUGGUUGAUGUUAAGCAAACACUUUUGUAAUUCAAUUCCAGCAUGGAUGAGUUUUAUCUUCUUUUCAAGGAGCUUAAUGAAAAAAUUGAUGCAUCAGUUGCGUUAUUGGGUAACGCCCUUCUUUAAUCAGCCUUCUGAAGACAAGAUUUACUAAAAUCCGCCAUAAAUCCACGUUUCCACUCAUUGUGCAGCUCAAAAACUCUGAUAACUAACUGCCUUUUUGGUGACAAUGUCCUCGAAGCUGCCCAAAACCAUCUCAUCUUCACAAGAAAUAAUGCGGCUGUUGGCUUCCUUGCGUAUGCCAUCUGCAACAAUCUCCAAAUCACCACCUCGACACUACCAGUUCAACACCCAUCAACAGCACUCACAAAGCUAUUUAAACUACCAAGGCCUAUCCAACAACUCUUGGAAGUCCCGCCAACAGUUCACAAAAACACAACCUUCAAAACCAGUUCAAAAGCUUGACCAAGGAUGGCUAAGUGAGGAAGAUAGGGUAAGGUACUGGCCAAUCACUCUUUACCCAGACAUAUUCAACUUUUUAGCUUUCCUUCCUAAUGAGAUUGCUAGUUCUGAUUUCAGGGACUACAAAACUUCAAAAACUUACUGCCAUUUAUCACAAGGAUGGUUAACACUUUUGAAGUAGACCCUCACAGAGAACAAAUGACACUACAUACAAACUAACUGUCUCUGUAAAGAGACUGGUAAAAUACUAGUAACUCAUUGUACUUGUAUGGCUGGCAUGUCUCAGACAUGCAAUAAUGUAGCUGCUGCUCUCUUCCAUGUUGGGUCAGCUUGGAGAAGGGGUUUGAAUAACAGUUUUGAAGUUGAAAAGAGAAGAUUUUUGCAAACGAGGAAAAAAGCAGGCAGACUUAAACACAGCUAAGAAGAGAAAUUUUAUUCCAAUAGCAAAGAGCACUUACAUGCUAACCUUCGAAGAUUUUGCUGCUGCUUGAAAAAAGUUGGCAAAGAGACUGAUUCUAUCUUGCUUACUGCCUUGCCAAAGUUGAUUCUCAGGUACCGCAAGGAGCAGAAGCUGUGAGUGUUCACACAAGCUUAAUGCUUAAUUGCUUAUUGCUCACUUCUUAAUGGUAAGAUUCUUUGGGACGCUUGGAUAACCAGAGGUCAACAUGAAAACACAAAUUGGAAUCUAUUUAGAAAGCAUGUUAUUACUGCCUCUAAAGCACACAGUGUUAAAGCUAGAUGUGCAACAUUACAAAGAGCCAAGGAUGCCAGUGAAGUAAAUCUUCUAACAAUAUUUGAUAAAACUUCUGGGAAAGAUUUGAACCUAGGUGUUCCUGUAGUGAGAUAUGACUUUCGUGGUCAGACCAUUUCUGAAGACCAUAGAUGACAAAAAGUUUUGACAAAAAACCAUAAAUAUUUCACACAAUGUCAAGUGCAAACGGCUUCAGUUGGAUUAUCGACAUGUCAUGUCAGCUUUCUUGAGAAGCUUAGUUUGACAAGAUGAACUGGUUGCAGUUAAAACACACUUUGGAGGACUUUUACAUUAACUAUUAUGUUCCAUAUCUGUUUAAUGAAUAAGGUUAAGUAACUUUACACAACUAUUUGCCUCAGUCCAUUUACUGUUUUGCGUGUUGCAUGUAUCCAUGAACUUUAUUGCAUAAGCUUUAAUUGGAUUUUGGUGGCAGCUUUGGACAUGAUAUUUCAUUUGAGAAUGAAUACACUGUUGUAAAAGUCAGGCAGGUCUGCUCUGCUCCAUCUAAACAUAUUAGAGGUUAUACCGCUGAUAUUACGCUCAAUUAAAAAAAUGUACAUGAAAAUAAUGAUGAGUUUAUGGGUGGGGAUCAUUAUUGUAACUACACUCAACCUUCACACACACCUAACAGUCCCAAAGUAUUCUUUUACUGCAUGUGCAGAGCGAUAUUUUGACUAAAUUUUUAAUGUCUGACUGUCUUUUGGCUUCCUAUUCUUUUUUCUUCUUGUGCUUCUUUACAAAGUAUGUCAUAAACAGACAUCUUCUAUGCUCUUUAGGGCCUUUAUGUAGCCAAAUUUAUGAUUGAAUUUUCUUUUUAAACAUGAUAAAGACUUCUGCUAUGCGGCUAGCUAGUUUGAAAGGAAUUUGUAGUUGUAUUUCUAAAAUUCAAAUAUGUUUAAUUUCUUUAGUGUGUUUUAUCUUGAUAUCAUUUCUGGGAGGCAGAGGAGACUCGUUCACUCUUUUAAAAUCUUGUAGGGAUUUUGCUGAAAUUUUUUGUUUUCAUGAAAGUUUUCUAAAAUUCAGUAAAAUUUCUUUGGUUUAUAAAAACUUCAAACACUAUUUUCAAACAGUGAAACACCCCCAAAACAUUUUUACAUUGAUAUUUUAUAGUUAAAAGUUUAAAGGACUACCUUUUAGGGAUAACACAACAUCACAUGCCUUAACUUUUCAAGGUGUGUGAUAACCAUUUAGCCUGGAAAAUUUCACAUUACCUGAACCAUAUGUCCCAUGUACCAUGGUUGCAGAAACUAAGUAAAUUACAUGAGAAAUAGACUUAACAGUGCCUUUGGAUUCCUGCAUGCACGACAAAUAGCAUUUUUGUUGAUUGCAUUUACCAAAGUUUCUUAUUACAAUAAAGAGGCAUGGAUAGAACAGACACAAAACUGAACUGAGUUUUUUCUUGAGUAGCUAAAACAUCUACUGAUCUACUGUAGUGAGAGAGAUAUCUUUAAUUCACUUGUUUUCUUUUAUUUUAAUCAGUGGGGGCUGAAUGUUGCAUAAAGUAGCACACGCAUGCAUAAUGUCAUCUGCUAGAGGUAACAUGUUUAUAGGCAUAAGGUUUUUUAUAAUUUUGAAUUCUUUUAUUUUGUUGAUGGCUCUUUCAACAUGAAUCCUCAAAUUUGCAACCAUUCUUGUCUUUUUCAUCGAGAGCUGACAGCAUCCAGAUGGUGAAUAUAUUUGAACAUACACCAGGCGAGAUUCUGAAUCUGGCUGCUAGUUCCUCAUUCAUGAAACCCAGUCGAAAUCUCAUAAGGACAAGCAAAAACUGAUCUCUUAAGGUCACUUUUUGAUUCCUCCUUUUCUUAUUUCCAAUGUAUUUUGAUGGUGAAUCGGUUCCUGUUCCCCUCCAGUACACCAUGGAUGACAAGCAAAAAGAUCGUACUUUCUUUACAUUAUCUAUCAAUUUGCACCUGGGUAAAGAAGGAUACAACAAAAGAAUCAGCAUGAGCCACUUUGUAAACAUCAUUUAUUGCAAUAAAACUAAGGCAUAUAAAACAUUUAUUGCAAUAAAACUACGAUGCUCCUGCUGAAGCUUUGAUUACAGAGUUAAAAUGGCCAACUGUGAGGGAUAUGAUCAGAAGUGAGACUGCAACAACUGUAUAUAAAUCUGUUAAUAGUCUCGAACCUGAUUAUCUCUCGCAUUUAUUUGUUAGAAAUUCUGAACGCAACAUUAUCAACCUUAGAAAUGCCGAAACUGACUUGCUAGUGCCAUUCAUGAAAACUAGUGAUGGAAAGAAAGUAUUCGCAUUUCUUGGAACAAAAAUCUGGAAUGAUCUCUGAAAAUCAGUCAUGACUGACAGGGCUACCGUGCAUAAAUAAUUUUAAAAUGUAAAAAAAGAAAAAUGGCACGAUUAUUAUGAUUACCAAUAUAAUUUGUUGAUAUGAAGAAAUAUAUUUUUCCAAGGUAACAAAUAUAUUUUUCUGAUGCUUCUUAUUUUUCAUGCCUUUCCAAUUUCAAAUGAUGUGUUCAUGUAGGUUAAAUGAGGAUCUGUUGUGCCCACAGGAAGUCGCAAACAACAAUUCAAUCUAUGACUCAAUUGAUUUAGUCUGCAAGAGAGGAAAUCUCGACUAUCUAAUAAAUUUAUUCUCUGUAUUUUUUUUGCAGAGGAUAUCUUGGCGAAAGGAAGAAGAGCUUCGCUCCUUUAAGGUGAGGGUUGCCUGCAAAUUUGGGAUUCCAAGAAACCAACAGUUUGUCUUCACAAAAGAUAAUGGUUUGAUAAUACUUUGAACCAGAGAAAGCAACAAUUUACACAAGAUGCACAGGGAAACGACGGGGGGAAACCACCGCCAAAAAAAGAACAAAAUUGCACUUUCUGGACAAAAUUGCUACCUCUUCCGGCAAAAAUGGUGCUCUUCCUGGUGCAAUUGACACUUUCUCUUAAUAAGGGGGCAGUUUUAAAUAAUUGGCAAACUGGCCUUCAUGGCCACUGGGCACCCUUACUUCUAUGUCCAUGGACAUAUAGUCGUAGAUCAUUUUAUCAAUCUCCAAAAAAGAGAUUAGCCAAAAUUAUGGCAGUAACGCAACUAGCAUUAUGGAAGGGAUAUUUCUUUUGCUACAGGUUUAAGUUAGUAAUUUUCUCCGAAUUUACUGCCAUAUACUAACAUAACCCAGGUUACAUGUGGCAUGUUGAGCCUUGUGUUUGAGGAAGUGCUUAAAAUUUCUUACUUACAAAUACCCCAAAGAAAUAGUCUGACUUUAUUUCAUUCCUCUACAAGUGCCACAACCAGCUUCAAGUGAAAAAUCAGCAUAACAUAGCUGACAUUUUAUUUUUUUUUCAAUCUUUUAUAUUAUUUGAGGGAAAAACUUGACUAUGAUGAAAUAAGGCUGUGGUGUGAUGGCAAACUUUACUUGCAAAUCGUCUGGAAUUGUUCAUGGACCAUGAAGCAAAUUUAUGCAUAAGUUUUUAGGUGGUAAUCAGGUAUAGGUAGCUUCCUUACAAAUAGAACUCAUUUCAUGAUUCAAUUACGCGAAGACACAUUUUAGUCACUUAAUUAGUUUUCUCAUCUCAAUUAGAAUGGAUGAAAGCUUAAUGGAAAGGAUGGAAUCACUUUCGAUUUAUGUUCACAAUACGAGUAACCAGCUAAGCCAGUGCCAAUCUUCGAUACAACGAAGAGCAAAAAGACUGAAGGGGAGAGGGCAAGUGGGAUAAAUAAGAAAAUUUCUGAACUAGAUGGGGCUAUUGAGUCUAUAAAUGGGAGAAUGGAGGGAGAAGAGGAAGAAUUUUCACAAGGUGAUAGAGGCAUAGGUGAAAAGAGGUGGAGAGAGAGAGAAGCAGCAGAGAACAUUAGAAAGAAGGCAAUGGAAAGUAUUGGAGGAAGUAGGGACAAGGAUACAUCUGAAGGUGGAGUUUAGAAGAAUAGAAGAGAAAGAAGAGUGGAUACAGCAGUAAAUUUGGAAGUAAGGCACGAUGAGGAAGUAAAUUUGAGGAAGGCUGAAGUAGAUCUACGAGAAAAAGAAUUGAGGUUGAAAGAAAAGGAACAAGAGCAAAAUUAUGAGCUAAAAAACAGGAGUUGUCAUUUAAAAAAAGGGAAAGGGAAGAUAAAAGGAAGGAACCUCUAAUCAUGGAGAAGAGAGAAACCAGACUACUUAAUUUGAUUUAGCAACAGCAGUUACUCUUCAGUCAAUUUCUCAGCAAAAUGUGCAGAUAUGGAUUGCUGAAAAAUUAGUCAUGUGUAACUUUUACUUUUGCCUGGUACAGAAAAAUGAUUCGAACUUUUGUAACCUGCCUUAUGGCAUACAAUUAUCCUAUUGGGAACUCAGAAAAAUUUAUGUGCAUUUAAAUCUAGUAAAAUGCUGAUAAAUGCUGUUGCCUAUUCUAAAUUUCCAUAAAUUUAUGCUGUGAUUACAAUAAGUCAUUAGUAGUUUCUUUAUCAUUAAUUGCAAAAAAAUAAGUAGUUUCUCAAUGUCGCAAAAAUUAUGGUGAUUUGUUAUUCAGUUUCAUCCCACUUUUAUGUACUCAGAUAUAUUUUCAAAGGUAAAUACAGAACUAGAUUUGACAUGAUUUCUUAAUUAAAAAAAUGUUUUACCAAAAGGAGAACCAUGAAACAUCCUUCAAAAGGCGAAUCAUGAAACAUGAACAAAAUGAAAUAUCUUUAAACUUUGCUUUAGUGUAACUUGAAAUGAUUUUCGAUGUUAAAAUUUGCAGUGGCAAUCUAAUUUACUUGGCUGCACAACAUAGAUUUUGACUCUAUAAUCAAGUAACAACACAAAAUCAUUGAACAUUUAGGCUAAGCUUGAGUUGGUGGAACCUUUCAGUUUUUUUCUAUCAACUAUGUUUAAUUUGCAAUUUAAAUCAUUGUACAAAAACAUUUUUCAGAUAAGUCCUAUUUGGAAAAUAACUCAAACAGACAACAUUGGUUAUUAUAAUGAUACAUUUUUGUGGCUAUUGAUUUGCAAUAUUUUUAAAAUAUCACACUUUGGCCUUGGGUACUUACAAUUGACUUAUCUGCUGUGGAAUGUGCUUCAUUUUUUCUACAUUUUAUGACCAUUGAAUUACCACUUAUUUUAAUUUGUUAUGGGUACUGAUGAAGAUAUAUAAUAGGGAUAUAGGCCCCCUUGUAAAAUUUUUACAAUGUUUUUCGGUUUUAAUGAUUUGAAAAGUUGCCUUAAACAAUGCCAUGACUUGUUGUGUGUGUACAGGUCUUGGUACUAUUGGUGGCUUUUACAAAAGUCGUUUCUGUUGUCUUGUGAAGAUGAGUUAGAUGAAUUUGUCUCCUCUGCCAGAAUCUUUGUUGAUAUCUCGAGAAUCAACGUUACCUAAAAUAAUCAUCAAUGUUUGGAGGUUUAACAUUGAAGAAGCUUGAUGUUGUAGAGCUAUAUAAACAUGUCAGGGCAUUUCUUAAAAGGGCACAAACAGAUUUUCCCAACAGCACUCAUUCCAAUUUGGAGGUUUUUCUUAAAAUCUAUUAACUUAAAAUAGUUUGAAAUGUCCCCAACACCCAUUCAACAGCAACACGAACCCUACUAAUUGAGGUAUUAAAGACUUGUUAGUCUUCUGUUAAAGGUCCCCUUCUUAUCAUAGGACAUUGCAGGUGAACCCUGUUUGGAUAGGCAGGAUCACCAUAUGUGCAAAGGGGCUGUUCUUCUUUAGUGGCUGUUCAAAUUGGCCUUAUACCUUGACAUAGCAAGCAUACCACUGUCGUGCCUGCAUCCUUCAACGGGCCCAAAAAGAUUGGCAAUGAGGCCAUUCGUAGCCGCAACUGAUUGAAACUUCAAUGCAUGGACUCUUUGGUGCCCAUUGCCCUGACAGUGCCGUCUACAAGACCCCAGCAAUUUUCUAAGGCUGCCCCCUUUGCAUGAAUGGCAUCUGCAUGCAAUUUAAGAUUUGCUGGGGAUAGGUAAGGUUGAUCAAUGUCCUUUAGAAGAUGUGCUGAGUUGUUGUAAAUAGUGUUUACAACAGUGUUAAACACGGUGCACAGCUGGUCUGAAACUCAGAUGGGCCUGAAGAUCAUUUCAGUUUGCGGUCUGAGCCCUUCGGGUGCUCAACUCCUCUUAGUUUUGCUUUCUCAAUUUGAGACAUAUUUGAGGCUUCGCAAUAAUAUAAUAUGAAAGUGUCAUAUUAUAUUUUAUCUAUGGGGCUUUCACUGGUAGAUGAAAAGUAUAGUAACAAUGCCGGAAUUUCCAAACAUCAAAAUAUUAACAAGGUGAUUUUAAUGCACAAUUAUUUAAGUGGGUUGAAAGGCAUCAAGAAACGCAUCUGAAAACUUGAAACUCAUCAAGUCAAGCAGGUGAGUCGUGUUUUUUAGUGGUUUAAAACAAUUUAUAAUUUGUUUUAAUGAUGGAAUCAGGCCUACCUAUAUUGUUAAGGUUUGAGUACUGCAGCGUUCAAAUUUCAAUAAAAUAAUUCUCCUGAUUCAGUAACAAAAAUGAAGAAUAUGCACAUUAUAUUACUUGGAUAUUGAAACAAAUUCACAUUUACACUAGGGUAUCGAAAGUAUCACACCACUUUGAUAGGGGAGAAAUGGCGCAUAAAUGAUCGCAAGCUAUUGUUAUGCAAAUUUAUUCUGUUUUGUCAUCGUAAAUUUAAAUUUUUAAAAGCUUUCUUUUGAAAAUCUAGAUUGUGUUUAAAUGGGGCUUGGAAUAUAUGAUUAGAAGCCAAUCCAUUUUCUCAACAUAUUCUGCAACAACACUCUUGUUACGAUAUUACAUUUUCAAAAUCAAUUCGUAACAAUGGUUUUAUUUUUUUUAGUUCACUCAUCUUCCGCGCUUUCUGUCAUCUACAACAUAAAAUAAAAACAUGAAUAGAAAAAUUUUACAUAAACAAAUACUCCUAUUUGGCAGUUUCUAGGAGAGAGAGAAAACGGAAAAGCAGGGACAGACAGAAAACAGAUGAGAAGAGUUCUAGAAAUUUUAGUCAAAUAAAGGGUAUUGAUGUCCGUCUAAACGAUCAUACAUUUGUUGUAACAUCAUUAUACAUUUGAUUGAAAAUUUUUGCAAACAAAUUUUCGGUCAUGUAGCAACUAUUGCGAACAAAGUUGACCAUGCCUGAAGAUUUUAUAGACAGUUCAACUCUCAAACUGAAUGCAUCCAGGAAAGCUUGUAGGUAAUUUUAAUCAUUGCAUCCAUCAAAGAAAGAAAACAAUUUCUUGGGCGUUUCCGGGAAAUGGGCAUGGUCAGUCGGUUAUAAUGAUUUUUGAGAAUGUCAAAUUUUUGUCUGGACCCGCCCCUGAUAGGCAGGAUCACCAUAUAUGCAAAGGGGCUGUCCUUCUUCAGUGAAAAAGUGCUGUUCAAGUUGGCCUUAUACCUUGACAUAGCGAGCAUACGACUGUCGUGCCUGCAUCCUUCAACGGGCCCAAAAAGUUUUGCAAUAAGGCCAUUCCUAACCACAACUGAUUGAAACUUCAAUGCAUGGAUUCUUUUGUGCCCAUUGCCCUGACAGUGCCAUUUACAAAACCUCAACAAUUUUCUAAGGCAGCCCCCUUUGCAUGGAUGGCAUCUGCAUGCAAUUUAAGAUUUGCUGGGGAUAGGUAAGGUUGAUCAAUGUCCCUUAGAAGAUGUGCAGAGUUGCUGUAAAUUGUGAUUACAACAGUGUUCAACUCCAAAAGAUUUCAUAGAGAGUUCAACUUCUAAACUGAAUGCAUUCAGGAAAGCUGGUCGGUAAUAAAUAUAUAAUUUGUAACAUUUGUGGUUCAUUGCAAAAUUUUGGUGAUAUUUUUCAUUUGCUCAUUUCAAAAAAAUAAUCUCCCUUUUUUCACAGCUCUGCUCCCAAAACACAGGCAUUUGAAAUGGCCACCUUUGCUAGUUUUUUCGAGAAUAUGCAGGUACACUGGAAGUGGAUGGAAGGCUACUGCAAAGAGGUGCGAAUGAAACGAUAAGUGUCUGGAUGACAAGGAAAGCAGAAAAAAGAAAAGGCGAAGCGGUUGUUCUUUCAGUAGCAGUAUUGCUUGGCAUCUUCUCCAUCUAAACUGAAUUCUUCAUAUUCCGUCCAUACCAAGCUCAUUUUGUACUUUCUAACUAUACGGCAUAAGAUAAAAACAUGAAGAGAAUAAUCUUAUGUGAACGUAUACUCCUAUUUGGCAGUUGCGAGGAGAGAGAGAAAACGGAAAAGCAGGGACAGACAGAAAACAGGUGAGAAGAGUUCUAGAAGUUGUUCUCAAAUAAAGGGUAUUGAUGUCCGUCUACACGAUCAUUUAUUUGUUGUAACAUCAUUAUACAUUUGAUUAAAAAUGUUUGCAAACAAAUUAUUGCGAACAAACUUGGCCAUGCCCAAAAUGUGUGAACAGUUUCAAAGUUGAAUCUGCAUCCCAAUUCUUACAAACAAGUGUUUUAUAGCAGUAACCAAAUUGAAGGCAGCUGCAGGAUCACGAUGGAUUGCCUGCUAUACAUUGGUAACAUGACAAAUUCUUUGUUGUUUGCAUUUGUACUUGCUCAUCAUCAAUUUGUAUUUAAUCAAACUGCAAAUUGCUUUCGAAUAAAUUCGGUAAAAUGACCCACAAGUUGUACUUUCUAUGUCUUUAAGCAUCAGAUUUUCAAGGUAAGGACCACUCUUUUCGAAAUCCAUUAUUUUACACUUUUCCUCUUGGAAUUUUCUUUGCCUGAUACAGCUGAAAGUUAUGGAUGCACUUCUUGUACAUGAAGGUAGUAUCCGCUUAUUAGCUUCAAUGAUUGAGGGUCAAAAUUGAUUCACUUUACAUCGCUUUGUGUAAAUGUUUAAGAGUGACGGACAAUUAUACCUGAAAUCCGAUUGAAUAUUUAUUUUGUUAUAAAACAUCCUUGAAAUUUAUUCACUGUUCAUUGCAUUGAAAAAUAAUCUAGCGCAUAAACCUCUUUUAUCCAAUCCUCUCUAUACAAAUAGUUUUAGAUGUUGAUGAAGUUAUUUCUCAUCGAAGGAAUACAGCGAUUCUCCUUUGGACGAGUUAUCUUGCGGAGGUAAGUACAGUUUCCAAUUGUAGUUCCACAACGCGAAAAAGUAACAUAUCACAAGUUAAUAAUUUACCCUAACCGAUAUUCCUUUAAGCCAACAGUAUACUUUUGGUCUUAUCAACUUAUUAAAUUUUUAAUUUAAAGAGGCAGAAAGAAUAGAUGCUGCAUCUGGUCCAUUGGCAUCUGUGAAUGAAAAAAAGGUAUGGCCAACUUCAUUUAUAUAACUAGAAAUGCCUCAUGUAUAUGUUCAUUUAAAAUGUUUGAAUCCAGGUUGGUAUAGAGAAGUUGGCUCGUUUAUGUUUCAAACUAAGCAGGAAGCAUUUUUGGGCAUUUCCAUAAAUGACAUUUUUACUAUUCACAUAGUAAAUUUUUUUAGUUAAAGGCAGACUUUACGCAGCAAAUACUUCGACUUAAAGAAAUGUUCCUUCUUUUUUGUGAUAUUUAGAGAAAGAAAUGUGCUAAAGGCUGCAUGAGGUUAAAAGAGAUGCUGGAGGAGAAGGCAUGGCUGCAGAAGGCAACUUUCCUUUCUAGGCGUCCAGUUGGCUUGGCAGAUCUUAAUGUAGGGGUAAUUAAGAGGUUUAUUGACCUUAUUUAUGAGUCAUCCAAUGAUCAAAUUAUGGAUUCUCUUCAUCUUCCAGUGUCUAGCCUGAAAUUUCUUGUAGGGAACCGUUGGCUUUCAAGUGAUCUUUUG